CUGCGGCGGCGGCAGCAAAACAACAGCAACACCCAGCGCCCGGGGGGAAGGAAGGGAGGUGCUCGCUCUGGGGCGCUGCCGCCGAGCUGGCUUCGCCGGCGGGGGCUGGGAAGGAGAGCGGGGAGGCGCGGAGCCGGGCGGUGGUUCACCCAGAGCUGCUGCCGCGGGGCUGCCCGCGCCGCGCCCCGUCGCGCCGGAGAGGUGGCCGGGCCGGGCCGCGGCCGGGCGAGGCGAGGGGGGCCAAGGCGAGGGCCGGCGGCGGGGCGUGGGGCAGAGGCGUCGGCCCGCCUCCGCCCCGGCUUGGCGCCUCGCCCGACUCGGCCGCCGGGAUUGCCGGCUGCCUGAGGCCCCUGCCGGGGUGGUGCUUCUUACGGCUGCGAUCAGCCCGUCGUGCCCGGGUGCGCUCCCGCCGGGGGGAAGCGGCGCUGCCAGCUCCCCCCGGCUCGCCCUCCCGGAGGCGCGGGCGGCGGGUCGGCCUCCCCGCGCCGCCCCUGCCUGCCCAGCCCCGCGGCUGCCACCCGCCGGGGGCAGGGGUGCGUGUGUCCCUGUCCGUGUCCCCGUCCUCCCCUCGCCGCGCCCCCUGGCAGCUGCAGCCGCCCUGCCCAGGCGGCGGCUGGGCUGAGGGGCCCGGGCCGCCCCCGGCGCCGAGCGGCUCCCCGCGCUGCCGGGGCACCGGGGCACGCCGUGGCGGCGCGGGGGUGAGCUUGUCCCAGGACUGCGCUUGCUGCUUGAGACCGUUUUCAGCGGGGUGGCACUGCACGUACCGCCUGUGAAACGGGAGCCCCUUAUCUCCAUACCCACAAGAUGGAUCGAGGGGCUUCGCUCAGAGCGACGCUUUUCAAAAAAAACAUCCUGGCCUACUGUCUCGACUCCAUCGGUCAGGGAAAGGUGCUGCCACUGAUUCACUGUUUUGCAUUUAAGGUUGUUACAGUGUGCCACAGAAAAUUAAAUCCUCUCCUCACUGAUGUAUGGCACCUAAAAGUGACGCCAAGGUGGAGGCAAAUGCUAUGCUUGGCAAGGCCCUGUCCUACGGUGCAAACUGUGCGGAGGGAUGAAAAGCCAGCAAUGCUUCUUGUGGAUGGAGUCCCUGCAGGACUCUGAUCACACGCUUCGUCUCGUGGGCAAGUAUGCGGGAGAGAUGGAGGAGAGGAAGAGGCCUUCAGAGAGGAGACAGCUGACCUGGAACAGGAACAGGGGAGGAUGGCCAUGUGGCCACUUUCUGAAGAUCCUUUCAGAAACUUGCAAGGGACUGAAUGCGCUCCUUGGGAUCUCUGCAAGGUGUCCCCUUCACUGAGGCAUAUGGAGGCAAUACACACUCACCUCCUGAGAACACCGGGUUGCUGCUUCCUCCAGCCAGGACUGCACAGCCAAGGAGAAGGUGGGCUGAUCAUGGGUGAAGGUGUUGCAUACCAUAAAGUGGUCCGGUCUCCAGAAGGUAGAAAUCCCAAGACAUUCACAUGUGCUGUAGAGCAAGGUUGCAUGUUUGCUUGUCUGAGGAAUCUCCUGAAUGGUCAACUGAGCAUCAGGGAUUUUUUUGUUUAAAUUCCACUAAAUUAAAAAAAAAAAAAUCCUCUUUUUAUUUUUUAAAUAAACAGAACUUUAGUCAAAAAAGUAUUGAGGAAAAGUAAGAGGAGGAAAAAAUGCAGCUAGGAUAUAUGUAACGUUCUGUAAUGCAUCAGCAGUGACAGCAGAGUCACAACUCCUUCACCUGCAAGUGACAGACCCCAUCAGCUGUGUUACAGAAAUAACAGGGAGAAAGGAAACAGGCUCAGGAUAUUUCACCAUGAUGUCUGGUUCCAGCACUACUACAGUUACCACGGGGAGAGGAUGAUUAAUUGAACCUACUGCUAGCAGCUCAUAUGGGCAGCAGCGAGGCUUUGGCAGUCUCAAGGGCAGCCUCCCAGAGUCCCAAAAAGCUAUUCAAGGAGAAAAAAAAUGACUUUGCCCUUUUGCGCCUGGAAUCCGGAUGUCUGGCAGAGGGGGCAGGGGCGGAAGGGAGUUGCAGCUCUGCAUUGUCCUUCGCUGUUCACAUUGCUGACACACCCCGAUAUCCUUCUGCCGUGCAGAUCCCUUUCAGCUGCCUGGUCUUAGCACCUUUGGCUAUAGGAAGGGCUGAAUGCUUUCCUACAUAAUGCCCCGGCAGUCCCCUCCCUACUGCUCCAGCCGAAGAAAUCUCAUGUUUAGAACACUUUCUAAAAUAUGCAGGCUUGAUAUUAGUCGUGAAUUUGAGGGUCUCCCUGCUUUAGACUUUUUCCUAACUUGCUUUACUUGGGCUCCCUCACCUUUGCACAUCCAUGUUGUGUUACUGCCAGAGCCUCCUGAGUUGUUUUGCUGUUACAGGUGCUGGAGAGCUGCUCACCCACCACCAACUCGUGCUUUUUCCCUCCCUCCCUCCCUCCCUCCAUCCCCGGGAUCUGUGUCCUGCACAAUUCUGACUGACUGCAGCAUUUGAUCUCCUGUGUGGUCCUCCCUGCUCCUCCAGGUCCCUCGCUGGCAUCGCUCCAGCCCUGCUCCAGUUCUUGAUGGUCACCAAGAUAUUGACUUCUAGGUUAAUUAUUUCUGAGCAUUCGGGGUCUUCUGGGUAGGGGUUGCAAGCUGGGGAGGCCCUGAAGAACAUUUUAGUUCUGUGUACACCUCAAGUGAAGGAGAGAACCCCCACACCCACAGGUGAGUUGUGCAUGACGAGACAACUGGGGUCAGGGCUCUGCAGCUCCAGUGGCAGCAUCUCACUGCUGAUCAACUUGAAACACAUUUUUGUACACAAGUCAUGGGAACACACAGCAACACUGAUGGAAAUGAGCUGAUGAAGGUUUAGUUUUAAGCCAUAUUUUGUUCAGGGUUUCUAAGGCGUGGUUGCAAAUAUAAUUCUUUGCCCUUGGCUGUGGAAGGGCUUAUGAAUUGCACUAACCACUGCUUACAAUCACAUUUUUCCCUUGCUGAGCAAGGGUGUGGGGGGAGUUUGCUAAAGAGGCUCCAUCAAAGUGAAAACGCCAUCACUCAUUUUCAGCCAAAAGAAAAGCAGUGCUGCCCAUGGCCCCUCAAAGGCUGGCUGUGGUUCUGCAGCUGGCUGCUGCUGCUCAAGUUGGGUAUCCCACCACCGGCCAAUGCAGGCUUCCUGCUGCUAUGCACUCCAGGCAGACACACCAAAUCCCCCAUGCUGAGCAUGAGAUGAGAAUUUUUUGGUCCCAUCUCAUGCUCUCUUCCCUUGUUUGCUUGCAUCUCAUACAUUUGGGUUACAGUGACACCACCAUCUUACUGCACAGCCAUCUGCUGGGACCUGCUGGGGUCGUUUAGGAUCUUGGGUCUGUUUAAGAUGGAAGUAGUUCUGCACAGAGCAGUGAUGGGGACAUGGGCAAACAUACUGUAACACUUGCUCUUGAAUGCAUCCAAUCAUUUAAAUGAGUAUCUUUGCUCCCCUGUUUUCUAGGUUGCUGGUUUUCCUUUAGGUUCUCUCUCUGUUACAGCAUUACUCUGCAAAAUUUCACAUCUCACUUCACAUCCUCACAUGUUACAUGUUUUUUUGGCCAUUCAUAGCAGUGAGCAGUGUCAGCCUGUGGAUUUAAGUGUCAGUAAAUGCAAUUUUUUUUCAGUCUGUGAUCUGUAGUGCCAUGAGGAUAUUUCUGUGUGGGGCAGUUUCAAUGGCCAACUCCCUUUAAUAGUCAUUAUUUAUAGAAGUCCUGCCAUGAGACACACUCUUUUACCCCUACUUUUUAUAUUUCCUUUCAUAUUUUUGUUUAACAUGUUUUCAGGACACUCUUUCAGCAAACCAAACAGAUAGGGUAAAUAAAUGAAAGGUGACCUUUAUGCACAAGGAAAGAGUUCUCAUGAAUUGCAGGAAGUAAUACACUAUAUGGGAAAAGCACCUCCUGCUCUUUUUUUGUUGUGGGUUUUUUUUUUUUUUAUGUACAGCAUUUUCCCCAAACUCCAUAACUGUAAACCAGAGCCUUAAGUACCAGCCAGAAGCAGACUCCUGAGUAUUUCAUAUUAUUCAGCUUUGCACAGUUUCCUGCCUUUGUCCUUAGACAAAAGGCUGCAGUCUAUUAAAUUAAUCUGCUCAAUUUGAAAUGAAGGCCAUAUUAAAUAACCUUCACUGUGCAUUUCUAUAGAUAGAAAAUGCUUUGAGGGUUAUCGAAUGCCUGCUGCAGCCAUCUACUGCUACUUGGUAUAAGUAAAUGCCUAUUUAACCAGGCUUUGAAAUGGAAUAUGAUUGACAGAAUAGCAUUACUCUUUCCAUAUCCUCAUUUCCAUUAUUUCACCCAUCCACUGUGUUUUUCUAAAAAAAAAAAAAAUUCUAAAGCCCUAAAAUCCAGACUCCAACUUCCAAGAUAUACCUCCCAGGCCUUCUCUUCUCCUUCACCAUCUCCAGCACCUCCCUGAUCUCCUUUGCUCACACACUCCCACUUCCCAAUAAUCUGGAUCUUCUCUUACAACUGCUUUGCAUUACAGACAUUAAUUUACUUCCAGUCGUACUGUUUUUCUUCAUUUUGUGAAUGUUGUCUUGGUGUCUGGCUAAACCAGCCCAGCUCCACCUGCCAAAAUUUUAUGCCAAGCAUAUCCUUUCUUUUCAGAUAAAAUGGCAGAAGCGCCGCCCCGCUCCCAGGCUGGUGGGACCGGGCUCUCAUCUAUGUGUCCCUGUGAGCACUGGAUACCAGGAAUUGGCUGCUUGUGCCGCUCCCUCCCUGCCUCUGGUAGAAUGUGUUUCAUCUCCUUUUUCACCCUCCUAAAAGCCAAAUGAUGUUUGCGGAAACCCUUAUCUUUCCCUUUUCCCCAUAUCUGUGUUGUCAAGGGUAGAGCUUGUUGAAGUACUGCCUCUGGGAAACUAGGUUUUUUGGCUAGGUUAACCUUCUUUUCUGACUUAGUCCUCCCAUUUGUUAUUCAUGAUGUGAGCAGAGAGAGAGGUGUAAGGCUAGGCUUCACAGUAGAGAAUAUUCACCAUAUAGUCACUCAUGCUGCUUGUUUAUCAGAAGCAUGUAUUGUUUAUAUAAGAGCUAGGAUGUCUGAUCCUUGAUAAGGUGCUCUGCUUUCUACUGAGAAUGAAAUUGUAGAUGAGAAUCACAUUCACAAAAAACCUCCAAGCCCAAAAAUGGAGUGGUGGAAAAUGAGGAAUAAAUAAUGUGCUUUUAGUAUGAAGUUUGAAGGCAUGCUUUUACUAUCCAUCCGACACACACCUACAUGUAAGCAGCAGCAAGGACAAAAGCAGCAAGGCAUAUCUGUGAAAAUAUCACAAACAACUCUGACACCUUCCAGAGGCACUAUACCGUUAUGACUUGCUAUAACAUUUCCAGAAUUUUUCCUCCUUGACUUUUACCAAGUGGCAUCCUGACCCACAUACACCUGUAUGCAAGUCAGGUCCGUGAGAACCACGCAUACCACUGGUCACUAACUUAGGUAAGGAAUCAAGCCAGUGGGACAACAGAAAAUCAAGAAGAUUGUAUUUAUUCCUUUCAUCAUUACAUGUUCACUUUCAAAAAAAAAAAAAAAACAACAACAAAACCCCAACACACAAAACCUGAACCAAACCAAGAAACCAAGCCAAACCAAGGGCAUAUUAAACAAUUUAUGAAAAAACUUGUAUGAUAUAAAACCA